rnacentral:rRNA from 1 species
GUCGAGCGGUAACAGAAAGUAGCUUGCUACUUUGCUGACGAGCGGCGGACGGGUGAGUAAUGCUUGGGAACAUGCCUUGAGGUGGGGGACAACAGUUGGAAACGACUGCUAAUACCGCAUAAUGUCUACGGACCAAAGGGGGCUUCGGCUCUCGCCUUUAGAUUGGCCCAAGUGGGAUUAGCUAGUUGGUGAGGUAAUGGCUCACCAAGGCGACGAUCCCUAGCUGGUUUGAGAGGAUGAUCAGCCACACUGGGACUGAGACACGGCCCAGACUCCUACGGGAGGCAGCAGUGGGGAAUAUUGCACAAUGGGCGCAAGCCUGAUGCAGCCAUGCCGCGUGUGUGAAGAAGGCCUUCGGGUUGUAAAGCACUUUCAGUCAGGAGGAAAGGUUAGUAGUUAAUACCUGCUAGCUGUGACGUUACUGACAGAAGAAGCACCGGCUAACUCCGUGCCAGCAGCCGCGGUAAUACGGAGGGUGCGAGCGUUAAUCGGAAUUACUGGGCGUAAAGCGUACGCAGGCGGUUUGUUAAGCGAGAUGUGAAAGCCCCGGGCUCAACCUGGGAACUGCAUUUCGAACUGGCAAACUAGAGUGUGAUAGAGGGUG